CAAAAUCGUAUCUGAUAGGUUAAAAAAAAAGGUGCAGGACCUGGAAGAUACUUAACAGUGGGCAGAACUGCAGACAAACAUCCAGGAGUUAAGCAGGCAGUCAGUCCAGAAGGCAGCUGAGAAGCACACUCAGGACCAAUUGCUGAAUAUUACUGAAAAUGUAAUACCAUUCAUACCCACCAGUGGGAGGUAGACAUCUUCAAAUGCUGCUUCAGUGGGCAUAAACAUCUGCAUCUGUGAGCUAACUCAUCAAGGUCAUGGACAGAGGAACUGCAGGGACAGUAGGGUCAUCUUUGUGUCUUGUAAUUGUUUUGUUACAUCUCAGGGUUCUUUUAAUCACUGAAAUACAACAGAAAUGAAAAAGCUUUUCUUGCAGUUGUUAAUGUUAAUCAUCAGCGCAUUAUUCUGGAUUAAAUAAUCAGAUUCCAAAAAAUCCUAUGGUGUCAUACAUUUAGCUUUGAAUAUGCCAUUUGCUUUUUUCUUUAAAUUUUUAAGGGGAAAAGCACCUCUCAAGCAAUUAGAUUUGUUUUAACUGUAUUGUUUAAUCUAAUGCAGAGAUUAACAAUUGU